CAACAAAACUCGUGGAAUUCUAUCAGAUCAAACCCUAAUUCUAGGUGUUGGUUGCAUAUGGGUCCUUUCUCUUGUUUAUUUGAUAAUUAAAAUUGAUACUUAAGAACCGUCAACAAAUACCCCCAUACUUAGGCUUUUACUCGUCCUCGAGAAAAGGAUGGUUAAGAAAAAUAUCUGGGGUAAACAUUUUAAAACAUUCUCUAUAUAAUUGCAGGGUGUUAAAAAUCCACUGUGUACCAUAGUCAGGGAAGUUUAUGAUCAAGAGUAAAGAUCCUUUCUUCUCAAUCCUAUCACUUGGAGUUUUUGUAUAUUUUUGAAAAAAAGUUAGCAUACCUUUUGAUCCUCAUAGGUUCUCUCAGAUCACUCAUUAUCUUUUAUAUAUAUCUCACUGAGGCUGUUUUAUUUUGCAAAAAUUCUCAAGCAUUCUUACUUUGCAUUUAUUGCCUGAUCAAAACGGGAUCCGAGGAGGGGAAUGUCAUACUCUUAGAUCAAAGACUUUGGAAAUUAAAAUCUUUGUCAACUCUUGCUGGCAUAUUGCUUAUUAGAGAGACCAUGGGCUAUCAUUUUUUUUAAGUGGAUACCGAGGUACCCCUAAUUAUACUGCCGGACACUUGUCCAUUUUUUCUGCGAGGUUGUCGAGCACUUGCUCCUUUUUAUUUCCUCGAAAUAUCUCUAUUUUUGCAUAGCCCAUGCCUCUAAUGCAAUAAUACUUCGGAAGAGUGAAUCUUACUGAAAUAAUGUCUUGAUCUUGGGAGCAUGAGAAAUCUCUCAACAAGGGUCUAACUCAUUUUGAACAAACUCAAUACAGAGCAGAUAGCUUUUAUAAUCAUAAUUAAUAUUUUCAAUUUUAUCAGGCAUAUAAAACGCUGAGGAUGGUAGCUAGAAAUUUGAAUAUUUUGAAAUAAAUUCUCCAAGCAACAAUGAUAUCAAGAAUAAGAAACUCGUACUCUACCAUCACAUAUUUCAUAUUGACUUAAGUAACACAGGGUUUUAAAAUGAUUUUAUAAUAAUUGCAAAUUUUCA
rnacentral:lncRNA from 1 species